rnacentral:lncRNA from 1 species
GCCCAGAUAAUAAAAUACAAACAAUUCAUCACUUUUUUUAAAAACUUGGAUCAGAGAUUAAACCCACAAUAUGGCAUCCACAGCCAGCCAAAUAAUUGAUCUAAAAUAAUCAAUGCCCCUUUCCUUAGUCUCAUGUAUAAUAACAGCAGUUGUUAUUUUAAUAACCUCGGAAGUGAACGAAGGUCAUCCCCAGCCUAGUGCACUUUAGCUACUAAAACAGAUCAAUCGCCUCAGUGGGAUCAGAAUUUGGUUUUUAUUUCAGUCUCAUAGAUCCUAUUCAUUUCAACCAGAGGAAAUAAUAGCUUCAUGGGCAUCCUUCC